CCUACGGGUGGCAGCAGUGAGGAAUAUUGGUCAAUGGGCGGGAGCCUGAACCAGCCAAGUCGCGUGAGGGAUGACGGCCCUAUGGGUUGUAAACCUCUUUUGCCGGGGAGCAAAGUGCCGCACGUGUGCGGUUUGGAGAGUACCCGGAGAAAAAGCAUCGGCUAACUCCGUGCCAGCAGCCGCGGUAAUACGGAGGAUGCGAGCGUUAUCCGGAUUUACUGGGUGUAAAGGGAGCGUAGACGGUGCGCCAAGUCUGGAGUGAAAUGCCGCAGCUUAACUGCGGAACUGCUUUGGAAACUGGCGAACUAGAGUGCGGGAGGGGUAAGCGGAAUUCCUAGUGUAGCGGUGAAAUGCGUAGAUAUUAGGAGGAACACCGGUGGCGAAGGCGGCUUACUGGACCGUAACUGACGUUGAGGCUCGAAAGCGUGGGGAGCAAACAGGAUUAGAUACCCCUGUAGUC
rnacentral:rRNA from 1 species